AUGCAUGCAUCUUGGUCAGAUAAUAGCCAGUUACUAGCUCCUCUUCGCUCCGCAGUGCCCCUCCUGCUGCGCUCCUCCCGCGUCCCGCUGCGGCCGCGUCCUGCCUCGGACAACUCCGGCCGCUCUGCGCGCGCGCCCAUGCCAGCGCCCCAUCCGGACUGGCCGGCCUCCGGCUGCUCCAAGCAACUAUACGAGCCCAUGCUCAUGGCCGCACAGAUCUCGUUCCUCUCUGGCCUAGUAGUACAGAUAAAAAAAAAUGAAGAAAAAAAGCACCAUUCAGCACCCAUCGCUGCUCCUGGCUGCACAGUCUGCCGCCCUCGCCACUCCGGCAGCGCCGGCUGCUCGCGCCUCACAGUCGGGUGCUCAGCGCUCGUCGGCUCCGCGCCGGCUGCCUCUGCCUCUGCCUGCGGCCGGGUGCUCCACCCCGAGCUCGGGCUCCGCCUCACCUGCGCUGGUACGGCGGCCGCCCGUCCGCUCCCACGCGCCUCCGCCACCCGGCCUGCGUCGGGCCGGCUCCGCCUCGCCGCAUCGCCGGCUGCUGCCUCGCGUGUUGCCCACCAGCAUCCGCCCACGCCGCUGCGGCCGGGCUCCGCUUCCGCUCCGCCACCCGGCCCCGCCCUGUGGCCGGCUCCCCCGCACCUCCGCCAUCUUCGCGGCGGCCCCUGGCCGGCUCCACCCUCACCACGGCCGCCUUCUCCGCGUCCCGGACCGCGCCCGCUCCCGCCGGGUCGCUCCACGCCCCUGCUGGCUCCCGCUCCUCCACUGCGCCAUCCGCGCGACCCGGCCGCCGCCUCCCGCGCGACCUGGCCGCAUCCCGUCGCCCCCGCCUUCGCGUGCCGGCCCCGGGCCGGUUUCCCGUCGCCGCCUCGCGACCCCAAUCCACCGUGCUGCAUCCGCACCUCAAGCCGGCUCCGCCCACCAACCCGGACGGCCGGCUCCGUCUCCAACAGGCCGGCCUCGAGCCCCUGUGCCGCCUCUACCUGGAGCCCGGCCGCGUCCGGCUCCUCCGCCGACUGCGCCCCGCCGCGCCACUUGACCCGCGCUGACCACCGACUUCGGAUUCGGCUGCACCGGGCCGACUCCGCCCGUGGCCGCCUGCUCACAGCUGUAGCCGGACCCGGCUCCGCGCUGUCCGACCUCCGCCUACGCCGCCCUGCGGCUCCGCGACUCCGCGCUUGCACCCAGUCUGCCCGUGGUCGCCUGCCCUGCAUGCCUCUUCUACUAACGCGCCCCGCCUGCCGUCUUGCCUAG
rnacentral:rRNA from 1 species